UCUACCUGCUCAAUGAUUUAUUUUAAAUAGCCGCGGUAUAUUAACUGUGCUAAGGUAGCAUAAUAAUUAGUCUUUUAAUUGAGGUCUGGAAUGAAUGGUUUGACGAGAAAAAUUCUUUAUUUAUUAAAUUUUUUUUGAAUUUUUUUUCUUAGUAAAAAUUCUUAGAUGUUUAAGAGGGACGAUAAGACCCUAUAGAUCUUUAUAAUUUUUUUUAUAUUUAAUUUUUUGUUGUUUUUUUUUGUUUAGAUUAACUUUGUUUUGUUGGGGUGACAACUAAAAUUUUAAACUUUAGUUUUUUUUUUCAUUUAUUUAUGGUUUUUUUGAUCCUUUUUUUUUGAUUAUAAGAAAAAGAUACCUUAGGGAUAACAGCGUAAUUUAUUUGGAGAGUUCUUAUUGAUAAAUAAGUUUGCGACCUCGAUGUUGGAUUAAAGUUAAUCUAUGGGGUAGGUUUUAUAGAAUUAG
rnacentral:rRNA from 1 species